AAAAUCGUACUACAUACGGUAAUAGUAAAAAAACAAAGCGGUGAAAGAGGUAAAUUAUUAAAAUUUAAUAGACAUGAGCAAAGCAUCUAUGAGUAUUCAGUAGCAGCAGAAAUUACUUAGAAAAAGUUAACUAGAGAUUGAUUAAAAACUGAGAACCCAGGUUAAAAAAUUAAAAUAAGAAAAGUGUGGGUGGUUAAGAAAGGACAACCACAUAACAAAGAUUUUUAUUAUCUACAGUCCCAUCUUCUUCUCUCCCAUCAUCAUCAUCAUCAUCAUUAUCAUCUUCCCCAAACACAUUAACCCAUUUUCUCUCUCUAAACUCUUCUCUCUCCUCUUUCUCUCUCUCUUUCAAUGCUAAUUUAUUUAUAUGGCUAAAGAUUCUUCUUUUACCCUACAAACCCUAACUCUCACUCUAAUCAAAUUAUACUUUUAGAUUUAAUUCUUUGGAUGUUGGUUUAAUUAAUCAGCCAUGGAUUUGGGGAAUUCUACUACUACAGUGAAAACUCCGGAAGCUGAAACCGAGACUCCGACCCGGAUCCAGCCAGUAUUAAAGGCGCCGCCUUUCACCAACGGUGUACUUAAGCGCCACGCGCCGCUGCAUCUCCACCACCACAGCCACCACCCAGUUGUUGUUACGUACAAGGAANNN
rnacentral:lncRNA from 1 species